rnacentral:rRNA from 1 species
AUUGAACGCUGGCGGCAUGCCUUACACAUGCAAGUCGAACGGCAGCACGGGAGCAAUCCUGGUGGCGAGUGGCGAACGGGUGAGUAAGGCAUCGGAACGUACCUGGUAGUGGGGGAUAGCCCGGCGAAAGCCGGAUUAAUACCGCAUACGACCUGAGGGUGAAAGCGGGGGAUCGCAAGACCUCGCGCUAUUGGAGCGGCCGAGGUCAGAUUAGCCAGUUGGUGGGGUAAAGGCCUACCAAGGCGACGAUCUGUAGCUGGUCUGAGAGGACGACCAGCCACACUGGGACUGAGACACGGCCCAGACUCCUACGGGAGGCAGCAGUGGGGAAUUUUGGACAAUGGGCGCAAGCCUGAUCCAGCCAUGCCGCGUGCGGGAAGAAGGCCUUCGGGUUGUAAACCGCUUUUGUCAGGGAAGAAAUCUUCUGGGUUAAUACCUCGGGAGGAUGACGGUACCUGAAGAAUAAGCACCGGCUAACUACGUGCCAGCCGCCGCCGUAAUAC